rnacentral:rRNA from 1 species
GACGAACGCUGGCGGCGUGCCUAACACAUGCAAGUCGAGCGGGGUUGAGGCGAGAGGUAACUCGAACUUCUACCUAGCGGCGGACGGGUGAGUAACGCGUGGGCAACCUGCCUCAAGGUUUGGGAUAACAGCCCGAAAGGGCUGCUAAUACCGGAUAUGCCUAUGGCCUCGCAUGGGGCUAUGAGCAAAGGGGAAACCCGCCUUGAGAUGGGCCCGCGUCCCAUCAGCUAGUUGGUGAGGUAACAGCUCACCAAGGCGACGACGGGUAGCCGGCCUGAGAGGGUGACCGGCCACACUGGGACUGAGACACGGCCCAGACUCCUACGGGGGGCAGCAGUGGGGGAUCUUGCACAAUGGGCGAAAGCCUGAUGCAGCGACGCCGCGUGAGCGAAGAAGGCCUCGGUUGUAAAGCUCUGUCUGGAGGGACGGAACAAAAUAGACGGUAACCUCCGGAGGAAGGCCACGGCUAACUACGUG